rnacentral:rRNA from 1 species
AUUGAACGCUGGCGGCAGGCCUAACACAUGCAAGUCGAACGAGUGGCGGACGGGUGAGUAAUGUCUGGGAAACUGCCUGAUGGAGGGGGAUAACUACUUGAAACGGUAGCUAAUACCGCAUACCAUCAGAUGUGCCCAGAUGGGAUUAGCUAGUUGGUGGGGUAACGGCUCACCAAGGCGACGAUCCCUAGCUGGUCUGAGAGGAUGACCAGCGACACUGGAACUCAGACAAUGUCUAGACUCCGACGGGAGGCAGCAGUGGGGAAUAUAGCACAAUGGGCGCAAGCCGGAUGCAGCCAUGCCGAGUGUAUGAAGAAGGCCUUCGGGUUGUAAAGUACUUUCAGCGGGGAGGCGUUACACGCAGAAGAAGAACCGGCUAACUCCGUGCCAGCCGCCGCGGUAAUAC